ensembl:lncRNA
GGUGGCCAGAGCUACAUGUGAACGCAGAUAUGCAGAUGUUAGAGGAGAGGAGAGUGGCAAGGGCAGUGACGGCCGCAGCGAAUCAGGGGGAGUUCGUUUAACCGGAGCAGGAAGGCUGUUUAAGCAGCCGGUUUUCUGCUGGCUUUGGCUUAGAGCCUAGUGAGGAUGAACUACCAGCUACAAAUGGAGCCAGGGAAGAGGAGGGCGAGCAGAGGAAAGUUGAAGAAUUAGGGCAGACUGUUCAAAAAGGACUGGCCAUUUUAGCCUUCCAUUAAAAAGAAGAGCAAGGGGGACAGAGAGCACAAAGAGCAGAAGAGAAUCUUAUCAGACAUCCUGGAGCUUCCAUGAUGGUCUCAACGUUGUGUCCUUUUAUUGUUUUCUUGGAAGGUAUCUUGGCCUUGGUUCUCUGAAAAAUGAAGACUUUGGAACUGUGAUGGAACCCUUGAUUGGUGGACAUUGCAUGGGACGUCCAAUAUAAAGUUCAGUAUAAAGACGGCAUUGUUCAACCUCCUGUACCAUUAAGCAUCAUCAUGUUACUAAGAGCUGGCCAACUGCAUAUGAUAGGAGGAGCACCCAGUGUCUUCAAAUUCUCUGCUUCGGAGCCCUGGGACACAGAAAUGCUCUUGCAUCGUGCUGGUUUGUAUUUCCCCAAGCUUGUGUUCCAACGUUCUCUAGUUUGCUCAGUAAGCUCCACAGUUCUAGUAGACAAUAGUCAUUUGCUCUUGUCUCUUCUCCCAUUUUUUCAUUCUAAAAAAGUUAUUUUUUUAAGCUUUUAACUGUGGUAAAACACCAGUAUCAAAUUUUAUGAUUGUAAUCAUUUUCAAGUCUAUCGUUCAGUGGUGUUAAGUAUAUUCACAUUGUUGUGCAACCAACCCCAGAAUGUUUUCAUCUUGCUAAACUGAAACUCUUACCAAUUAAACUACUCAUUUUCCCCUCCCCUAGGCUCCUGGCAACCACUGUUCCACUCUCUGUUUCUAUGACUCUUGAC